CACACACACACACACUCAACCUCAAUAGAAUUAGGAAUUAUAAUACUCAUUCUAAUCUCUAUGCAUGAUGACGUAUUUCAGUAAUAAGGAGAAGUUUGGUUAUCCACCGUCCAUCAUAAUGAGAGAUGGGGUUGCACAAGAGACGGCCGCUGUCCACCGCACGGUGGUGCUGAACAUCAGAUCGCGGGAUUCUGCUUCAGUCGCUGUCUGUUAAAAUUGUGUUGAAUAGCCAAUAGCAUCUGUUUUCUUGUUGUUCAGAAUCGUUUUUUUGGCCGACAGCUGUGACAAAUUUACCACACAGGUCUACAAAGUAGCACAUGAAGAUCAUGGUUUGUAGACAGUUCGGACACACCGUCUGUGCUGUGUCCACAGUUCAGACACGUUUAGAUAGCAGUCUAACCUAGAACUUGGACAGAUUUUUGCGCUUUUUGGUUUUUGUUUUACAAAUUUGACUCAAUAUCAAACGACAAGAAAGACUUGGAAGACAGUCACCAAGAGAAAGGGAUGGAGGAGGAGGCAAAGGAAGAAGAGCCAGUUGCUCAGCUAAAGGAAUAGUGGAAGGACAAGUCUGGCAAGGACUUGGAAGGUAGUCAUCAGAAGAAAGGGAUGGAGGAGAAGGUAAGAAGAAGAGCCCGUUGCUUAGCUGAAGGAAGAGAGAAUGGGAAGUCAAGUGCCAAGAAGACCUCAGCCGAACGUGACACUGAAGCAGGUCCCUCUGUGGCAUUCUCUUUGGAAAAAUACCAAAACAGGGCAGCAGUAAUUCAACUCUUACAGGAGGAACUUCUCAAUAGUCUACUUCACCCCUCAGGAAUGGCAGAGGACAUCUGAUUCUUUAUCCUCACCAAUUUCAUGAGCAAUCUCACUGAUAGGUCCAGUGCAUUCGGAAAGUAUUCAGACCCCUCCGCUUAUUCCACAUUUUGUUGUUACAGCCUUAUUCUAAAAUGGAUGAAAUUACCCCCCCCCCCAAUCUACACACAAUACCCCAUAAUGACAAAGUGAAAACAUUUUUUUUAAAUGUGUAAAAAAGAAGAAAAAAAACACACACCUACCUUAUUUAAAUAGGUAUUCAGGCCCUUUGCUAUGAAACUCGAAAUUGAGCUCAGGUGCAUCCUGUUUCCGUUGAUCAUCCUUGAGAUGUUUCUACAACUUGAUUGGAGUCCACCUGUGGUAAAUUCAAUUGAUUGGAUAUGAUUUGGAAAGGCACACACCUGUCUAUAUAAGGUCCAGUAACAGUACAUGUCAGAGCAAAAAUCAAGCCAUGAGGUCGAAGGAAUUGUCCGUAGAGCUCCGAGACAGGAUUGUGUCGAGGCACAGAUCUGGAGAAGGGUAUCAAAAAAUAUCUGCUGAGUAAACGGUCUGAAUACUUAUGUAAAUGUGAUAUUUCAGUUUAAUUUUUUUAUACAUUUUCAGAAAUGUCCAAAAAACUGUUUUUGCUUUGUCAUUAUGGGGUAUUGUGUGUAGAUUGAUGAGGAAACAAAUAUAUUUUAGAAUAAGGCUGUAACAUAACAUUUUGAAAAAGUCAAGGGGUCUGAAUAGUUUCCAAAUGCAGUGUUUCAGUAGCACACAUUCUGUAUACAACAAACCUGUCUGAACCAGUACAAAACAACUGAACAUGUUUACUUGUGUCUAUAUCAGGCAGUGGAAAGUGAUUCAAGAGGACAUGAGAAAUCCUGCGACCAAAGUACACCUUGCUAAAAUGUGCUGGAAGAUAGCGAAAACGGUUUCCCUAUAGCUGUAGAGAUCCUCAUCCCAGCCCUUGCACACAUAUUAUAGCUUAAUGCUGCCAGGGAAGCUAGCUCCUCCCCCUCGCUGACUGGGGUGCUUCAGCAUUGCAAGCAUCCAGGAAUGUGUGUCGAGGUUCAAUGAAGGUCUACCCAAGAUCCCUGGCAGUGGAAAGUCUGUUCAGCCAACGGGUCAAGGCUCCAUACCCCUCUGCCACUGACUUUAAGCAGUCACGCAUGGUGACGUUUAAAUGACAGAUCUACCCACAAGGCCUAGCAGUGGAAAGUCUCUGGGUGGUCAAGACUCCCUACCCUCAUCCACUGAAUUUGAACAGAGGCUGGAGUUGAUGCGUGAAAAGUUACAACAGAGAAUUGAGGAAGAGCGGAAGUGGUAUACAUUAUUACAACUCCCGCACACCCACUCCACGUUCUUCUUCUGGAAGGUAUCUUCAUCAACCACAUGUUCACCAACCUCAACUGUGGGCCUGACCCAACUGAUCUUAUCACUGUAUACGGUACAUACUCAAUUCAGAUCUUGUUGCAGAGGGCACAUGGAGGAGAGGCUCAACUGACAUAUCCUGUUAGUGCCCUCUUUGGGAUCACAGAGGACACAAUUCUUCAGGUUCUGGAAGAUCAAUCCUGCUCUUUUUGCUCACCUGGAUUGACCAGAUCUGUGCCCUUCAAACUGAUCAACAAAAAGCUCCAGCCCUCAGAGGAAGCAUAGGACCAGAUUAAGUUUCCCCAUGAGGAGGAGCAUUGCAUACCACCCCGCAUAGUGCCGAUGGCUCGGCUCCACUAGAGAAGAGUCUUCCUGCAACUUCCAAACCCGAGGACAAGAAACACAAACCCUUCAUCUUUGUCAGGAUGUUCUUGGCCAUCAACAAAUGCCUUCGCAACACCUUCAAACCUUCAUUACAACAAGUAACAACACCUAAUUAAGUAAAGACUUAUUGCAUUCA